UCGCCAUCCACCACAGAAGCAUGUUUAUGAAUGAUAGUUAAAAUGAAAUUACUCCACAACUAACUUAAUAGCAUUCGACACUGCAAUUUUCGUAGUUUACCUCUUCCUCUCCUCUUGCUAUGGUGGUUGGUUCUUACUCACCCAAAAUCCAAACAAACUUGGCGGGAAAAGACGCCAUUGAAGAAGGUCAAAGUCAGAGUAAGCUCCUAUCUCAGUUCCGGCCAGGGCCAGUCCUAGUAGGCCACACGCGCAAGAUCAGGAUAUUGGCGUCAAAUCCAAAGGCAGAUAUAGAGAACCUUGAAGAGUUGCUACAGGAAGAUAAUUUUCUUCUUGAAUAUGGAGUUAGGAGAACAAGGACGGUUUCCGGUGUUGAUUUUGAAGUUGAAGGAAAGCGGUAUACAGAGAAAAAGGCCUGCAGUUGUUUUUCUUCACAGUUCGUAGAGUGACAAAGAAGCGGUGCGUCCAUUGCUUGAGGUUGCUAUGGUUCGGGACAGAAUUGCUCCAGGUUUACCUUCACAAUUUGAUUCACCUUAUUCAAUUCCAACCUUCGUGCCCUGUCUUAUUCUUAUCGGUGCGAAAGAUCCCCUGGAAAUUCCAAGAGCAAGGCAAGCCUGGUAUACAGAAAGUUUCACUGUUUAGAUAAUUUCAAGGUAUGAACCUGAAUUGUUUGGUGACUUCGGUGAGAAAUUUAAACUUGCCAUUGUGAUCAUCCGCUAUCACUUUAAUAAGAAUGGAUUUAACAGUCGGUCGAAACCUGAAUCUUCCGAUUUAAACGAACAAAAACGAUAAAGGCAAUUUCAAUAAUAAUAAAAAUGACAUGGAGCACUGAUGGUGGAGAUUUUAGAUUGAAGAGGAUCCAAAUGAAAAUCCAAUGUAAGAAGAUCCAUAUAUAUAUCGAGAUGUUGAGACUUGGGAAACGACACAUGUGUUGUGUUGAUCGUAAUCUGAGUUGGGUAGAGUUAUCAUGUCAUGAUAGCAUUGAGGUGAGUUGUUACUACUAAUAUACUUCGAAUGUGAAUUUUCCACAAAAUGAUGAACACUUGCUGGAAAAUUUAUUAUAUAUUGUGCAUGGAUCACAAGGUGAAUUGAAGACAUACUCAAAGCAACAGGGCAUGCUUAUGCUAAUGUUAUAGUGGAUGUAAAAGGUGAGUGAUCGAAACUCUUAAUAAUUG